UACGGAGGGUGCAAGCGUUGUCCGGAUUUAUUGGGUUUAAAGGGUGCGUAGGCGGCUUGAUAAGUCCGUGGUGAAAGCCAACAGCUCAACUGUUGAACUGCCAUGGAUACUGUCAGGCUUGAGUACAGACGAGGUAGGCGGAAUGGAUCGUGUAGCGGUGAAAUGCAUAGAUACGAUCCAGAACUCCGAUUGCGUAGGCAGCUUACUAGACUGUAACUGACGCUGAGGCACGAAAGCGUGGGGAGCGAACAGG
rnacentral:rRNA from 1 species